AGACAUAGAAAGUGAUUACCGCUACAGUGUAAUAGAAGGAAGCCUUAUUAUCAACAAUCCCAGUGAAUUAAAAGAUGCUGGGCAGUACCAGUGUUUUACCACCAAUGUCUACGGUAGCAUUUUAAGCAGGGAAGCCUCACUUCAAUUUGCAUAUCUGGGGAAUUUCAGCGGACGAACACGAAGUGCCGUGUCCGUGAGGGAAGGUCAAGGUGUGGUGCUAAUAUGCUCUCCUCCACUUCACUCACCAGAGAUCAUCUACAGCUGGGUAUUUAAUGCGUUCCCCUCCUUUGUGGCAGAAGACAGCAGGCGUUUCAUCUCCCAGGAAACAGGCAACCUCUAUAUAUCCAAGGUGCAGCCAUCAGAUGUUGGGAGUUAUAUCUGCCUGGUGAAGAACACAGUGACAAAUGCCAGGGUCCUUAGUCCUCCAACUCCA